AGCGAACGCUGGCGGCAGGCCUAACACAUGCAAGUCGAGCGGAUGACGGGAGCUUGCUCCUUGAUUCAGCGGCGGACGGGUGAGUAAUGCCUAGGAAUCUGCCUGGUAGUGGGGGACAACGUUUCGAAAGGAACGCUAAUACCGCAUACGUCCUACGGGAGAAAGCAGGGGACCUUCGGGCCUUGCGCUAUCAGAUGAGCCUAGGUCGGAUUAGCUAGUUGGUGGGGUAAUGGCUCACCAAGGCGACGAUCCGUAACUGGUCUGAGAGGACGAUCAGUCACACUGGAACUGAGACACGGUCCAGACUCCUACGGGAGGCAGCAGUGGGGAAUAUUGGACAAUGGGCGAAAGCCUGAUCCAGCCAUGCCGCGUGUGUGAAGAAGGUCUUCGGAUUGUAAAGCACUUUAAGUUGGGAGGAAGGGCAGUAAGUUAAUACCUUGCUGUUUUGACGUUACCGACAGAAUAAGCACCGGCUAACUCUGUGCCAGCCGCCGCCGUAAAAC
rnacentral:rRNA from 1 species